rnacentral:rRNA from 1 species
AUUGAACGCUGGCGGCAUGCCUUACACAUGCAAGUCGAACGGCAGCACGGGUGCUUGCACCUGGUGGCGAGUGGCGAACGGGUGAGUAAUACAUCGGAACAUGUCCUGUAGUGGGGGAUAGCCCGGCGAAAGCCGGAUUAAUACCGCAUACGAUCUACGGAUGAAAGCGGGGGACCUUCGGGCCUCGCGCUAUAGGGUUGGCCGAUGGCUGAUUAGCUAGUUGGUGGGGUAAAGGCCUACCAAGGCGACGAUCAGUAGCUGGUCUGAGAGGACGACCAGCCACACUGGGACUGAGACACGGCCCAGACUCCUACGGGAGGCAACAGUGGGGAAUUUUGGACAAUGGGCGAAAGCCUGAUCCAGCAAUGCCGCGUGUGUGAAGAAGGCCUUCGGGUUGUAAAGCACUUUUGUCCGGAAAGAAAUCCUUGGCCCUAAUACGGUCGGGGGAUGACGGUACCGGAAGAAUAAGCACCGGCUAACUACGUG